rnacentral:misc_RNA from 1 species
UCCGAUUUGGCACCGGCGGUCUCCCAUGAGUCCCCGGCAUGACCCGCUGGCAACAUGGGACAGGGGUUGCGCUCGUUGCGCCACUUAAGGCAACACCUCACGGCACGAGCUGACGACAGCCAUGCAGCACCUGUGCGGGCCCCCGAAGGGGCACCGUGUUUCCACGGCGUCACCCCGCAUGUCAAGCCCUGGUAAGGUGGGGAUGACGUCCCAGUAUCGGAA